AUUUUGUCUUCAAAAAGCCCUCUAAGGACUGCAGCCAAUAGGGUAAUCUGAAAGAGGCUAUAAGUAUGUUGAAAAAAGCAAAACAAUAGGAAAAGGAACAUUAGGGAAAAAAAUGUUUAUGUGGUGGCUUUCUAUGCUUCAUUCUUCAGAAAUUCCCUCACCCACCCCCAGAUUUCUAGGUCCUAUGCGUUAAGAGAUAUCUUUGUUCCUUUGCAGAUACCUGUAUUAGUUUGCCAGGAUUGCCGUAAUAAAGCACCACAGACUGGGGCGACAGAAGAUCCAGAUCAAAGGGUUUGCAAGAUGAAGUCUCACUCUGUCUCCCAGGCUGGAGUGCAGAGCCGCCAUCUGAGCCCACUGCAAUCUCCACCUCCCAGGUUCGAGCAAUUCUCCUGCCUCAGCCUCUUGAGUAGCUGGGAUUACAGGUGAGUGCCACCACACCUGGCUAUUUUUUUUUUUUUUUAUGUAUUUUUAGUAGAGACAGGAUUUUACUAUGUUGGCCAGGCUGGUGUCGAACUCCUGACCUCAGAUGAUCCACCCAUCUAGGCAUCCCAAAGUGCUGGGAUUACAGGUGUGAGCCAGAGCCACCACACCUGGCC
rnacentral:lncRNA from 13 species